AACGAACGCUGGCGGCGUGCCUAACACAUGCAAGUCGAACGAGAAAGGUCGCAAGACUGAGUACAGUGGCGCACGGGUGAGUAAUACAUAGGAAUCUUCCCUUUAGUGAAGAAUACCCUGGAGAAAUCCAGGCUAAUACUGCAUAAGCCCAGAAAUGGGGAAAGGUGGCCUCAAGCUACCGCUGAAGGAUGAGCCUGUGUCCUAUUAGUUAGUUGGCAGGGUAAUGGCCUACCAAGACAAAGAUGGGUAUCCGGCCUGAGAGGGUGUACGGACACACUGGAACUGAAACACGGUCCAGACUCCUACGGGAGGCAGCAGUGGGAAUAUGCACAAUGGGCGCAAGCCUGAUGCAGCGACGCCGCGUGGAGGAUGACGGUCUUCGGAUUGUAAACUCCUG
rnacentral:rRNA from 1 species